CCCUUAGAUGUUCUGGGCCGCACGCGCGCUACACUGAUGCAUUCAACGAGUUUCUUCCUGGUCCGAGAGGAAUGGGUAACCUUUUGAAAGUGCAUCGUGAUAGGGAUAGACUAUUGCAAUUAUUGGUCUUCAACGAGGAAUUCCUAGUAGACGUAGUUCAUCAGACUGCAUCGAUUACGUCCCUGCCCUUUGUACACACCGCCCGUCGCUCCUACCGAUUGAAUGCUCAGGUGAGCCAUUCGGACCUUCUUCAUGCCGGUUUCCGGUUUUGAUGAGGGAAAGUCUUGCGAACCUUAUCAUUUAGAGGAAGGAGAAGUCGUAACA
rnacentral:rRNA from 1 species